GGCUUGGUGGCCCAAUGGUAGGGCGUCGCUUUCCGGUAAUCCGAAUCUGGCGAAGAUUCAGGGUUCGAGUCCCUGCCGAGUCG